UACGAAGGGGGCAAGCGUUGCUCGGAAUGACUGGGCGUAAAGGGCGCGUAGGCGGCUCAUUUUGUCAGGCGUGAAAGUCCUGGGCUCAACCUGGGGACGGCGCUUGGGACGGAUGGGCUAGAGUGGGGAAGAGGGUCGUGGAAUUCCCAGUGUAGAGGUGAAAUUCGUAGAUAUUGGGAAGAACACCGGUGGCGAAGGCGGCGACCUGGUCCUUUUACUGACGCUGAGGCGCGAGAGCGUGGGGAGCAAACAG
rnacentral:rRNA from 1 species